AUUCCUGAAGAGAGGCAGAAAA
rnacentral:miRNA from 1 species